GACAGAGGUGCCGAGCGUUAGGCGGAAUCACUGGGCUUAAAGCGUGUGUAGGCGGAUGCCUAAGUACCUUGUGAAAUCCCACGGCUUAACCGUGGAACUGCUCGGUAUACUGGGUGUCUUGAGCCAGCUAGGGGCUACCGGAACAAAUGGUGGAGCGGUGAAAUGCGUAGAUAUCAUUUGGAACGCCAAUGGUGAAAACAGGUAGCUGGGGCUGUGCUGACGCUGAGACACGAAAGCCAGGGGAGCGAACGGG
rnacentral:rRNA from 1 species